rnacentral:ncRNA from 2 species
GAUCAAGAAGCUCAGCCACACGGCCCCCCGGCCGGCUGACUGGCAACCGCCACUCGUAGGACGGUGCCCCCGAGGGAAGAUCGGCCCCCGCGCGAACACGCGCCGAGGGAAGAUACGAGC